UUUACCCCCUGAAAAAAGCAUAUCAAUAAGCGGAGGAAAAGAAACCAACAGGGAUUGCCCUAGUAACGGCGAGUGAAGCGGCAACAGCUCAAAUUUGAAAUCUGGCUUCGGCCCGAGUUGUAAUUUGCAGAGGAAGCUUUAGGCGCGGCACCUUCUGAGUCCCCUGGAACGGGGCGCCAUAGAGGGUGAGAGCCCCGUAUAGUUGGAUGCCUAGCCUGUGUAAAGCUCCUUCGACGAGUCGAGUAGUUUGGGAAUGCUGCUCAAAAUGGGAGGUAAAUUUCUUCUAAAGCUAAAUACCGGCCAGAGACCGAUAGCGCACAAGUAGAGUGAUCGAAAGAUGAAAAGCACUUUGAAAAGAGGGUUAAAUAGCACGUGAAAUUGUUGAAAGGGAAGCGCUUGUGACCAGACUUGCGCCGGGCGGAUCAUCCGGUGUUCUCACCGGUGCACUCCGCCCGGCUCAGGCCAGCAUCGGUUCUCGCGGGGGGAUAAAGGUCCUGGGAACGUAGCUCCUCCGGGAGUGUUAUAGCCCGGGGCGUAAUGCCCUCGCGGGGACCGAGGUUCGCGCAUCUGCAAGGAUGCUGGCGUAAUGGUCAUCAGCGACCCGUCUUGAACCACGGACCCA
rnacentral:rRNA from 1 species